GAUGAACGCUGGCGGCGUGCCUAAUACAUGCAAGUCGAGCGAACAGACGAGGAGCUUGCUCCUCUGACGUUAGCGGCGGACGGGUGAGUAACACGUGGAUAACCUACCUAUAAGACUGGGAUAACUUCGGGAAACCGGAGCUAAUACCGGAUAAUAUAUUGAACCGCAUGGUUCAAUAGUGAAAGACGGUUUUGCUGUCACUUAUAGAUGGAUCCGCGCCGCAGUAGCUAGUUGGUAAGGUAACGGCUUACCAAGGCGACGAUGCGUAGCCGACCUAAGAGGGUGAUCGGCCACACUGGAACUGAGACACGGUCCAGACUCCUACGGGAGGCAGCAGUAGGGAAUCUUCCGCAAUGGGCGAAAGCCUGACGGAGCAACGCCGCGUGAGUGAUGAAGGUCUUCGGAUCGUAAAACUCUGUUAUUAGGGAAGAACAAAUGUGUAAGUAACUAUGCACGUCUUGACGGUACCUAAUCAGAAAGCCACGGCUAACUACGUG
rnacentral:rRNA from 1 species